GACGAACGCUGGCGGCGUGCUUAACACAUGCAAGUCGAACGGAAAGGCCCCUUUGGGGGUACUCGAGUGGCGAACGGGGGAGUAACACGUGAGUAACCUGCCCUUGACUUCGGGAUAACUUCAGGAAACUGGGGCUAAUACCGGAUAGGAAUCCUUGCUGCAUGGUGGGGGUUGGAAAGCUUCGGCGGUUUUGGAUGGACUCGCGGCUUAUCAGCUUGUUGGUGGGGUAGUGGCUUACCAAGGCUUUGAGGGGUAGCCGGCCUGUGAGGGCGACCGGCCACACUGGGACUGAGAUACGGCACAGGCGCCGACGGGAGGCAGCAGUGGGGAAUAUUGCACCAUGGGCGGAGGCCUGAUGAAGCAACGCCGCGUGCGGGAUGACGGCCUUCGGGUUGUAAACCGCUUUCAGCAGGGGCGAAGCUUGUGGUGACGGUACCUGCAGAAGAAGCACCGGCUAACUACGUG
rnacentral:rRNA from 1 species